rnacentral:hammerhead_ribozyme from 1 species
GCACUGCUGAGGACUCCCACAAUAGGACGAAACGGCCCGUCCAGUGC